rfam:Myotis davidii contig18376, whole genome shotgun sequence.
AGCUGUUCUCAGGUGAUGCACCCCAAAACCAGAGAGGCGGGAGCCUGAUUUUCCAGGGUGCAUCACCUGAGAACCGCC